rnacentral:lncRNA from 1 species
UUCUCCGGGCCUCAGUUCCCUCAUCUGGAGAAGGGGGAUGAAGACCGGGAGCCUCACGUGGGACGACCUGAUUCCCCCGUAUCCCCCCCCCCCCCCCAGCGCUUAGAACAGUGCUCGGCACCUAGGAAGCGCUUAACAAACACCAACAUUGGUAUUAUCAACUAAGGGCUCGGCAGCGUGGCUCGGGGGCGAGAGCCCGGGUUUGGGAGUCGGAGGUCGUGGGUUCUAAUUCGUCCAUUCAUUCAUUCGUAUUUAUGGAGCGCUUACUAGGUGCAGAGCACCGGACUGAGCGCUUGGAAGGGACAGAUCGGCACCGGAUGGACGGUCCCUGCCCUUCGACGGGCUCAGGGUCUGAUCCGGGGGGAGACGGACGAGGACGAGGACGAUGGCGAUGAAUAGCGUCGAGGGGCCGCACGGCUCGUUGAAACGAUAGCAAUGAAUAGAAUCAAGGUGAUCCCGACUCCACCGGGUGUCGGCUGGGUGACUUCGGGGCAGUCACUUGACUUCUCCGUGCCCUCGGUGACCUCAUCGAAUGGGGAUGAAGACUGGGAGCCCCACGUGGGGCCACCCGAUGACCCCGUAUCCACCCCAGCGCCUAGAACAGUGCCCAACGCGUAGCGAGCGCUUAACAAAUGCCAUCAUCGUCGUUAUUAUUAUUAAUACGAGGCUCUCUGUGUCCGCUGCAGCCUCCUCGGGCCGAGGAAAGAGGGUGCCGUUCGCUCACGACGAGGCUUCCGUCCCCCACUCUACUUCCAGGGACCCAAGGCCUUGAGUUUCCACUUGGAUCAUUCAGCGAGACAGAACCCGAGAGCCCUAUUCCACAGACCGACUAAUCUGUAUCUUCCCCAGCGCUCGGAACAGUGCUGGACACACGGUAAGCCCUCAACAGAUGCCAUAAUAAUAAUAUUGACAAUGAAUCCAAGAUGGUGGAUGAUUCCAAGAUGGCAGAGAAAGCUCGGAGAGGCCAGAGAUUGGAGCGCGAGGCCGAAGGGAACCGUCUGUUCCUCAGGGAUCAGCUAAGCCACGGUCGGGCUGGCCGCGCCAACAGUCCGACCUCGACGCGGCAUCUCUGUGCCGUAACAGUGUCGUGACAGGUCGGAAUGACUAGAUACCUAACCGGGGAUGAGGGUGCUUCCUUGUCCCGCACCUCAUCGAUGGGUCAGUCAUUGAAUUGCAUUUAUUGAGUGCUUACUGGGUGCAGGGCUUGGGAGAGUACGGUACAACGGAAUUGGCAGACACAUUCCCUGCUCACAAAAGCUUACAUUCUAGAGGGGGAGAUGGACAUUAAUAUAAACCGUGCAAAUGUACAUGACUCCUGUGCGGCCGAGAAGGGGGAGGAGUAAAGGGAGAAAAUCAUCGUGCGAGGGCGAUACAGAAGGGAGAGGGAGAAGAGGAAAUCAGAGCUGAGUCGGAGAAGGCCCCUUGGAGGAGUCGUGCCUUCAGUAAGGCUUCAGAGGUGAGGAGAUGAAGAGGGAGUAUGUGGUCCAGAGGCGGGACGCGGGCGGGAGGUCUGUGACAAGAUGGACAUUAGGUCCACAUCACUGCCCGAGUUGGGUAGGGGUUUGGAGUUUGGGGCCGCGUCCAGG